AGGGAGAAGAUGGAGAAAGAGAGGUGCAAAGGGGAGACGGAAGAUCUCAGAAUUUAGGAGAAGUGAAGGAACAGCAGCCAGCAGAAAUUGAAACAAUGGAAUUCAGUCGU